ACAGCAGCAGCCGCGGGAAUACGUAGGGUGCAAGCGUUAAUCGGAAUUACUGGGCGUAAAGCGUGCACAGGCGGUUCGUUAAGACAGAUGUGAAAUCCCCGGGCUUAACCUGGGGACUGCAUUUGUGACUGGCGGGCUAGAAUAUGGCAGAGGGGGGUAGAAUUCCACGUGUAGCAGUGAAAUGCGUAGAGAUGUGGAGGAAUACCGAUGGCGAAGGCAGCCCCCUGGGCCAAUACUGACGCUCAUGCACGAAAGCGUGGGGAGCAAACAGGAUUAGAUACCCGUGUAGUCCCUGUCUCUUAUAA
rnacentral:rRNA from 1 species